UAGGGUGACCAACCCAUCCCAAAUUGCCCGAGACUUUUGUGGCUUUAGAAUUAAUGUCCCACAUCAUAGGAAAUCCCUCAGCUCUGGGCAAAUGGGACAGUUGGUCACCCUGAAGCAGA
rnacentral:miRNA from 1 species